rnacentral:rRNA from 1 species
CAGUCGCCGCGGGAACACGGAGGGUGCAAGCGUUAAUCGGAAUUACUGGGCGUAAGGCGUGCGUAGGUGGUGGUUUAAGUCCGUUGUGAAAGCCCUGGGCUCAACCUGGGAAUUGCAGUGGAUACUGGGUCACUAGAGUGUGGUAGAGGAUAGUGGAAUUUCCGGUGUAGCAGUGAAAUGCGUAGAGAUCGGAAGGAACAUCUGUGGCGAAGGCGACUAUCUGGGCCAACACUGACACUGAGGCACGAAAGCGUGGGGAGCAAACAGGAUUAGAUACCCCCGUAGUCCCUGUCUCUUAUAC